UCCGAAUUGGUGUAGUGGCUAACAUUUGACGCUCUCAUUAACCUCUCCUUAAGUAGUUGUGUGAUCCGUCAAGCCCGGGGUUCGAUUCCCCGAUUCGGAG